rnacentral:rRNA from 1 species
AGUGAACGCUGGCGGCAUGGUUAAGACAUGCAAGUCGAACGAAAAGCAAGUCUUCGGAUUUGUGGAAAGUGGCGAACGGGUGCGUAACACGUGAGCAACCUGCCCUAAAGUAUGGAAUAGCCUGUCGAAAGAUGGAUUAAUGCCGUAUGUGACUUUUUCUCGCAUGGGAAAAAAGUUAAAGCUUGUAAUGGCGCUUUAGGAUGGGCUCGCGGCCUAUCAGCUUGUUGGUAAGGUAACGGCUUACCAAGGCUAAGACGGGUAGCUGGUCUGAGAGGAUGAUCAGCCACACCGGGACUGAGACACGGCCCGGACACCUACGGGUGGCAGCAGUUUCGAAUCAUUCACAAUGGGCGAAAGCCUGAUGAUGCAAUGCCGCGUGGAGGAUGAAGGCCUUAGGGUCGUAAACUCCUGUCAUUGGGGAGCAACAAGUAGGUUUAUAGCCUAUCAUGAGUUAACCCAAAGAGGAAGAGGUGGCUAACUCCGUGCCAGCAGCCGCGGUAAUACGGAGACCUCGAGCGUUACUCGGAUUCACUGGGCGUAAAGGGUGAGUAGGUGGCCAAGUAUGUCAGGUGUGAAAUCCCGGGGCUUAACCCCGGAACUGCGCCUGAAACUACUUGGCUAGAGUCUCGGAGAGGAUAGUGGAAUUCCAAGUGUAGCGGUGAAAUGCGUAGAUAUUUGGAGGAACACCAGUGGCGAAGGCGACUAUCUGGACGAGUACUGACGCUCAAUCACGAAAGCGUGGGUAGCGAAAGGGAUUAGAUACCCCUGUAGUCCACGCCGUAAACGUUGCACACUAAGUUUCGGAGGAUUCGACCCCUUCGGAGCUCAAGCUAACGCGUUAAGUGUGCCGCCUGAGGACUACGGCCGCAAGGCUAAAACUCAAAGGAAUUGACGGGGGCCCGCACAAGCGGUGGAGCAUGUGGCUUAAUUCGAGGCAACGCGAAGAACCUUACCUGGUCUUGACAUGCCCGUCAUAU